UACGUAGGGUGCAGGCGUUAAUCGGAAUUACUGGGCGUAAAGCGUGCGCAGGCGGUCUCUUAAGACAGGUGUGAAAUCCCCGAGCUUAACUUGGGAACUGCGCUUGUAACUGAGAGGCUAGAGUGUGGCAGAGGGGGGUGGAAUUCCACGUGUAGCAGUGAAAUGCGUAGAGAUGUGGAGGAACACCGAUGGCGAAGGCAGCCCCCUGGGCUAACACUGACGCUCAUGCACGAAAGGCGUGGGAGCAAACAGGAUUAGAGUACC
rnacentral:rRNA from 1 species